CUAUACUAUGACAUUUUUUGACCAUUUUUGACCCCUUACUAUACUAUGACAUUUUUUGACCAUUUUUGACAACAUACUAUACUAUGACAUUUUUUGAACAUUUUUGAUGCCUUACUAAACAGUGCUCUGUGUUGGACAGUUGAUGUAAAGCUGUUUGUGAAUUACCUGGAGGCCUCUGUCUUGGUCUGAAAGAACUUCUUCACUGUACGAAGACUCUCUGUGAUCUUGGACUACAUCUCUGUGAUCGCGGACUACGUCUCAGUGAUCGCGGACUACGUCUCAGUGAUCGCGGACAAUGUCUCUGAGAUUAUGGACAAUGUCUCUCCGUUCAUGGACUAUGUCUUUGUGAUCGUGGACGAUGUCUCUGAGAUCAUAGACGGUGUCUCUGUGGUCAUCAACAAUGUCCCUGAUCGCGGGCAAUGCCGUCAAAUCGGUGACCCCCGUCUCCGCCGAUUCUAUCGCAAGGUCUCUGCAAUCACGGACAAUGUCUCUGAUCGUGGACGAUGUCUCCCUCAUCCUCAACAAUGUCUCUCCGACCAUGGACCAUGUCUCUGCGAUUGUGGACGAUGUCGUGGACAAAGUGGUGACACCUGGAGGAAAUCAAAGAGAAACAGACAAAGGAAAAUGAUGAAUACACUACUACCUAUUCCUCAUCAACAGUUUAACCAUGAAAACACAGAGAAAUAUUCAACAUUAGAGGCUCCUUCAGAAAAUUAACAGUUGACUGUCAUCACCUCCUGAAGAACCAACAACAGUAAAUAUUUGGGAAAAAGUCAAAUGAUUAUUGAUUGUGUGUCUAUCAACUAAUCACUGAAGCAAUCAUGUAUGUUACUGUGAACUGCACAACAAUAAUAAACACUAUCAGUUAAGUAAA